rnacentral:rRNA from 1 species
UUGGAGGGCAAGUCUGGUGCCAGCAGCCGCGGUAAUUCCAGCUCCAAUAGCGUAUAUUAAAGUUGUUGCAGUUAAAAAGCUCGUAGUUGAAUUUCGGGAUCAAUGGAUUGGUCAUGCCGUUGGUAUGUACUGAUUUUAUUGAUUCUCACCUUCUAAAGAGUCAUAAUGCCAUUAAUUUGGUGUUGUGAGGAAUUAGGACUGUUACCUUGAAAAAAUUAGAGUGUUUAAAGCAGGCUUACGCUUGAAUACAUUAGCAUGGAAUAACGAAAUAGGACAUCGCAUUCUAUUUUGUUGGUUUCUAGGAUCGAUGUAAUGAUUAAUAGGGAUAGUUGGGGGCAUUAGUAUUCAAUUGUCAGAGGUGAAAUUCUUGGAUUUAUUGAAGACUAACUACUGCGAAAGCAUUUGCCAAGGAUGUUUUCAUUAAUCAAGAACGAAAGUUAGGGGAUCGAAGACGAUCAGAUACCGUCGUAGUCUUAACCAUAAACUAUGCCGACUAGGGAUCGGAUGAUGUUAAUUUUUUAAUGACUCAUUCGGCACCUUACGGGAAAC